CAUGGAGGAGGCAGUAUACGAGCCUCAACAGAAGCCAGAGAAGUACUUAUUUUGAUGCCAAACUCUUGAGCAUAAUUAUCUUUAGCAUAAUCAUUGAGUUGCACCGUCU
rnacentral:sRNA from 1 species